rnacentral:rRNA from 1 species
AUUGAACGCUAGCGGCAUGCCUUACACAUGCAAGUCGAACGGAGCGUCGAACGGGUGAGUAAUGUAUCGGAACGUGCCCAGUAGCGGGGGAUAACUACGCGAAAGCGUAGCUAAUUCCGCAUACUUUCUGAGCGGUUGCUAUCGGAUUAGCUAGUUGGUGGGGUAACGGCUCACCAAGGCGACGAUCCGUAGCUGGUUUGAGAGGACGACCAGCCACACUGGGACUGAGACACGGCCCAGACUCCUACGGGAGGCAGCAGUGGGGAAUUUUGGACAAUGGGAGAAACCCUGAUCCAGCCAUCCCGCGUGUGCGAUGAAGGCCUUCGGGUUGUAAAGCACUUUUGGCAGGAAAGCGGUACCUGCAGAAUAAGCACCGGCUAACUACGUGCCAGCAGCCGCGGUAAUAC